CAUGGUUUGUCUAUGCCUCAAAUGCAAGUUUGUGAAUGAACUCCGAGUGUGUCGUCAGGAUCAAGCACCAUAUAGGAAUAAAUUGUAUAGAUCGUGUUGCGAAUAGACUGCAGCAUAAUAGCCGCUGGCACAAAAGUAGGGGAAAAGUUACUUUGAAAGUGUACUGCUUGUUGCUGGAAGUCCAUGGCCCUUCCCCUUCUGUGGAACUGUACUCUGCUCACUACGCUCUUGGCUGCAGUCCCCACCUCCCUGCCCCCUGUUCUCCCCUUCUGGAAUCCCUGGCUGUGUUUAAUUGGCGAGUGGCGUUCCAGAGCAGGCAGAGUAAUCAGAGUCGGGGCCUCGGCGCUCACAUGGAGACGUGGCGUCUGUACCGGAUUAAAAAGCACGCAUCGUGGUGGAAGGUAGAUGUGGAGUGUUCGCCGGCCACCGAGCGAUCGCGUGUGUGAGCGAGCGAGAGAAUGGCAAUGAGAAAGAGUGGGAGGAAGAAAGAGCGAGAACGGGAGACAGAGCUGCGAGGGGGAGCGGGAGAGAGAGAGAGAGACGGAGACGGAGACAGACAGGAAGCGUGCAGAGCAAUUGAGACAGAGAAGCUGGGCGAGAGAGAGGAAGACGGAGGCCCACUCAAGGAGAGAGGGCAACAGAAGUGAGGGAGAGGGAGGGCCAAGUAAGAGGCACAGAAAAAAAAAAGCCACGAACAGGAAGAGGCUAAGAAAGGGAAGUAGUGAAGGGGACUUCGAAGGUGUGGAAGGAGGAGAGGAAAGUUUGAGGACUAGAUGGUGCAGCCAUGAAUGGCUGAAGUGAAGGAACGGAGGGGAAAACUUCUGUGAGAAGUCUUCCUCUGCGGCAGCGCGAGCGUUUCCGUUAUGUUCUCGGACACCAGGCAGCUGGGGCCGCGCACGCUUUUUCAUCACAACAAUGGACCGGUGCCGCCGACGGAGGCAGAGCGCAUGGGGCCGGGCAGGCGGACGGCAGCUGACGCCCCCCGGCUGGACGGCAGGAAAGAAACCGGCCUCGCAACGCAGGAGGAAUUCACGCUUGUUCGAGGGAAGGAGCGGACCGGAGCCCGUUCUAAAAUGGGACACGAUUUUGAGAGGACGCCGAUCUCCACAGGGCCACGGCUCCCGGCGCAGCCCGCCACGGCUGGCCGGAGCUCCCUGGGGGAGAGCAGCUUUCCAGGAUGGAACCGGUGUCCUGAAGCAGGUCAGGGGCGCAGCCUUCCGACGAACGCAUGCCUCAGAACGUGCGGCUGCGCUGGACCACGGCAUCGGACUGCGUCACACCCCUUUCCGAGGAAGUGCACGCUGCCUCCGCCAGCUCUGCCGAGAGCUCAAGAUCACUACCGAGAGCCUGGAUAUGCGCCUGAGAAACAGUUUUGGGGCUAUCCAAGAGAAAAAUAUCAGAGGGAGACGUACGAUUCCGGAUCAGAACACUCGACAAAAUCCUACAACAGAUUUCGUGGUUUGAAUUCAAGCUUUUGUCGCGGCCACGAAGAAGAGUAUCACGUACUGAAGGAUUUGAAACGACCAAAAAUUCACCCGAAGAAAGUCUGCAACGGACCCAAGUUUUGCCAAGGGGUUAUUGGCUCAUCCAAAGCCACCCUAAGUCCAUGGAACCACAACAGUCAGCAAAGCCAAUGUCUGUCGGGUAACGACCCAAUGUGCGUUCUGAACAAACUGGCCCGAGAAAGUCUGAGCCCGAGGAAACAACUGCAAUUGGAAGAGAGGAAGCGGAGACAACGGUUGGUCCGCGACCAGAUCCGACAGGUGGUCACGGACCUCGAGGAUGUUCUGGCUGGCCUGAAACAAGUUCACCUUGAAAUGAAGGAGGUGGUCCAACAGAUUGAGCUGUUGACCUCUAACAUUGACCUCAGUGAGGAGGAGAUUACCAAUGGCUUUCCCAGCAACACCAUCUGCAGCAGCAGCUCCAGCGGGGUUGUGGUGUCCUGUCAAAAGAGGGUCAUCAACCCCGGCUCCAGCAAUCUUCAAAACGCUACCGUUCAUCCAAAGCUCCCCGUGCUCAACCCAUCCAUCACCGUAACAAAUCGAGCGGCGCUGCUUGCGCCGUGCAAGGCCUCUGCCAAACACAAGUCUGGCAUUCCCUUCGCUGAGCGCCUUCAACCUACAAGCUCACCCGGGAACCAGAAACCGGAGGCCCAAAGUGCAGGUGACGCUCCGGGACCAGCGCUUCCCAGGACUGCUUUGCAGGCUCGGAACCACGCGGUCGUCUGCAAACCCGGUGGACCCGAAACUGUGAAUCCAAGGGCUCUGCCUUACUCUCGCGGUGGACAGGCAGGGACAAACGGGAAGGCUCAAGACUCUGUGAGGACGCCUCAGUGCGCUGGGAAGCAUAGACUGCUCUCCACCACUGUGUGAACGGGCAGCGGUCGGUGGCAACGGACCACCGCAGAGGCCUCUCCUGCUGCUGGACCAGCCAGGGCCUCUUGGCUGCCCGGCGCCUCACCGUGAGUAUUGGAACCAAAGGCCUGCUGUGUUUCUUCUCCAUUAUAAUUGUUUUGCUGCUUAGCCCAGAUGUUUUUCUUGUUUUUUUUUUUUUUUUUUGUCCAGAGGGACUUGUUUUUACCCAUGUAACAGCCGAAUGUUUUUAUUAGAGCAAAUCAGGUAGAGUACCUUGCUCAAGGGUACUACAGCAGUGCCCAUCCUGGAAGCUGAACCUCCACCAUUCUGCUUACAAGUCCAUGUCCUUGACCACUACGUUACUUGCUGCCCCUGCUUGCCCUUUACCGCAGGGCGCAGCAGUUGUCGCUGUUAUUGUACGCGUUGUUCUCGUUCGCCUGGUGAUCUGGCAUCACGCCGACGCUCACGCAUCCGUGUUUACGUUUCCAGUUUGGAAGUGCGGACUCCGCAUAGGUGCCGCAGCUUCCUCCCCAGCAAUGCUAUGAAACGAUGUGAAACUUGACAGACGGUGGCUGAAGAUUAACAGCUUGCUCAAGUCGUCCAGUGGUGAUGCAUUCUGGAUUUCCACUACCUCGCUCCAGACCCACUCCAGACUCAAGGGCAGCUUGUGUCCACUCUGUUGAGAUAUCGGGCCAUCAUAUGACCAGUAGAUCAGGCGUGUCCUGUUCUGCUCAUAAGCAAACUAUACAGUGUAUGUAUAUAUUACAGCAACAUUUAUGUGAUGGAGUUAUUGUAUCAGGAAAGUUACAACAAAUCGCUAAAACUCAAUAGUCCCACCGCAGCUUCUCGUCUGUCCGGGGAGGGGGGAUAAAGAGAAGAACACAAUAGAACAGUUGUGUUCCAGUACAUGCAUAUGUGGCCAAUUAUGUUUCCCAAAUGAACAAAGGGAGGUAAAUACGGGUAAAUUUAGUCAGCAGACAUGUGCGGGAUCAUGACUGAAUGACAGUACUGAAUAUAA
rnacentral:lncRNA from 1 species